rnacentral:siRNA from 1 species
GAUGAUUCAUGAUAACUCGAC